rnacentral:rRNA from 1 species
CAUGUAGGCGGUCUGUCAAGUCGGACGUGAAAGCCCGGGGCUCAACCCCGGAACUGCGCUCGAAACUGCCUCGCUAGAGUCCCGGAGAGGAGGGCGGAAUUCCCGGUGUAGAGGUGAAAUUCGUAGAUAUCGGGAGGAACACCAGCGGCGAAGGCGGCCCUCUGGACGGUGACUGACGCUCAGACGCGAAAGCGUGGGGAGCAAACAGGAUUAGAUACCCUGGUAGUCC